rnacentral:rRNA from 1 species
UACGGAGGAUGCAAGCGUUAUCCGGAUUCAUUGGGUUUAAAGGGUGCGUAGGCGGACUAUUAAGUCAGUGGUGAAAGCCUGCAGCUUAACUGCAGAACUGCCAUUGAUACUGAUAGUCCUGAGUUUGGUUAAGGUAGGCGGAAUGUGUAAUGUAGCAGUGAAAUGCUUAGAUAUUACACAGAACACCAAUUGCGUAGGCAGCCUACUGAGCCGACACUGACGCUGAGGCACGAAAGCGUGGGGAUCGAA